CCUCGACGUGUACAUAUGAUUCUACAGGUUUUUUGACAACAUUGUGGGUCCUGAGGGCGAAUGCCUCCGCCUUGACAUGUGCCUGGCAGUCUGAUCUCUUCACAUGUAGGCUCACCUCACCUAUGUCCUGGAUCCUUUGGACCGCAUUCUAGAUGUUUCCAAUUUCCAGGGCCAUUCCCCAAUUUUCAACUCCGAUGAGAGACAACACAUGCAGGCAUGGCUG